GGGCCGAUAGUUUAAUCGGUAGAGCACCGGUCUUGUAAGCCUGGGGAUCUAGGUUCGAAUCCUAGUCGGUCCA
rnacentral:tRNA from 1 species